rnacentral:rRNA from 1 species
GGUUUUACUGAUUCCUCCCUCUUGAAGAACUGUAAUGCCAUUAAUUUGGUGUUGCAGGGAAUCAGGACUGUUACUUUGAAAAAAUUAGAGUGUUUAAAGCAGGCUUUAGCUUGAAUACAUUAGCAUGGAAUAAUGAAAUAGGACGUUUGAUCCUAUUUUGUUGGUUUCUAGGAUUGACGUAAUGAUUAAUAGGGAUAGUUGGGGGCAUUAGUAUUCAAUUGUCAGAGGUGAAAUUCUUGGAUUUAUUGAAGACUAACUACUGCGAAAGCAUUUGCCAAGGAUGUUUUCAUUAAUCAAGAACGAAAGUUAGGGGAUCGAAGACGAUCAGAUACCGUCGUAGUCUUAACCAUAAACUAUGCCGACUAGGGAUCGGAUGAUGUUAAUUUUUUAAUGACUCAUUCGGCGCCUUACG